GGGUGCGAUCAUACCAGCGCUAAUGCACUGGAUCUCAUCAAAACACCGCAGUGAAGCGUGCUUAGGCGAGAGUAGUACUAGGAUGGGUGACCUUUUGGGAAGUACUCGUGUUGCACCCC
rnacentral:rRNA from 1 species